GGCUUACCAAGGCGAUGAUGCAUAGCCGAGUUGAGAGACUGAUCGGCCACAAUGGAACUGAGACACGGUCCAUACUCCUACGGGAGGCAGCAGUAGGGAAUCUUCCACAAUGGGCGCAAGCCUGAUGGAGCAACACCGCGUGAGUGAAGAAGGGUUUCGGCUCGUAAAGCUCUGUUGUUGGAGAAGAACGUGCGUGAGAGUAACUGUUCACGCAGUGACGGUAUCCAACCAGAAAGUCACGGCUAACUACGUGCCAGCAGCCGCGGUAAUACGUAGGUGGCAAGCGUUAUCCGGAUUUAUUGGGCGUAAAGCGAGCGCAGGCGGUUGCUUAGGUCUGAUGUGAAAGCCUUCGGCUUAACCGAAGAAGUGCAUCGGAAACCGGGCGACUUGAGUGCAGAAGAGGACAGUGGAACUCCAUGUGUAGCGGUGGAAUGCGUAGAUAUAUGGAAGAACACCAGUGGCGAAGGCGGCUGUCUGGUCUGCAACUGACGCUGAGGCUCGAAAGCAUGGGUAGCGAACAGGAUUAGAUACCCUGGUAGUCCAUGCCGUAAACGAUGAGUGCUAGGUGUUGGAGGGUUUCCGCCCUUCAGUGCCGGAGCUAACGCAUUAAGCACUCCGCCUGGGGAGUACGACCGCAAGGUUGAAACUCAAAGGAAUUGACGGGGGCCCGCACAAGCGGUGGAGCAUGUGGUUUAAUUCGAAGCUACGCGAAGAACCUUACCAGGUCUUGACAUCUUGCGCUAACCUUAGAGAUAAGGCGUUCCCUUCGGGGACGCAAUGACAGGUGGUGCAUGGUCGUCGUCAGCUCGUGUCGUGAGAUGUUGGGUUAAGUCCCGCAACGAGCGCAACCCUUGUUACUAGUUGCCAGCAUU
rnacentral:rRNA from 2 species